rnacentral:rRNA from 1 species
AUUGAACGCUGGCGGCAGGCCUAACACAUGCAAGUCGAGCGGAUGAAGGGAGCUUGCUCCUGGAUUCAGCGGCGGACGGGUGAGUAAUGCCUAGGAAUCUGCCUGGUAGUGGGGGAUAACGUCCGGAAACGGGCGCUAAUACCGCAUACGUCCUGAGGGAGAAAGUGGGGGAUCUUCGGACCUCACGCUAUCAGAUGAGCCUAGGUCGGAUUAGCUAGUUGGUGGGGUAAAGGCCUACCAAGGCGACGAUCCGUAACUGGUCUGAGAGGAUGAUCAGUCACACUGGAACUGAGACACGGUCCAGACUCCUACGAGGCAGCAGUGGGGAAUAUUGGACAAUGGGCGAAAGCCUGAUCCAGCCAUGCCGCGUGUGUGAAGAAGGUCUUCGGAUUGUAAAGCACUUUAAGUUGGGAGGAAGGGCAGUAAGUUAAUACCUUGCUGUUUUGACGUUACCAACAGAAUAAGCACCGGCUAACUUCGUG